rnacentral:rRNA from 1 species
UUAUCGGAGAGUUUGAUCCUGGCUCAGGACGAACGCUGGCGGCGUGCCUAAUACAUGCAAGUCGAGCGGACAGAUGGGAGCUUGCUCCCUGAUGUUAGCGGCGGACGGGUGAGUAACACGUGGGUAACCUGCCUGUAAGACUGGGAGAACCACGGGAAAG